rnacentral:rRNA from 1 species
CAGUCGCCGCGGUAAUACGUAGGUGGCAAGCGUUGUCCGGAAUUAUUGGGCGUAAAGGGCUCGCAGGCGGUUUCUUAAGUCUGAUGUGAAGGCCCCCGGCUCAACCGGGGAGGGUCAUUGGAAACUGGGAAACUUGAGUGCAGAAGAGGAGAGUGGAAUUCCACGUGUAGCGGUGAAAUGCGUAGAGAUGUGGAGGAACACCAGUGGCGAAGGCGACUCUCUGGUCUGUGACUGACGCUGAGGAGCGAAAGCGUGGGGAGCGAACAGGAUUAGAUACCCGUGUAGUCCCUGUCUCUUAUAC